rnacentral:other from 2 species
AUGGUUUUGCCUAUUUUAUUAAUAGAUUAAAAGGCGAGACCAAAGUAUAUAAAAUAUUGCUGUGUGUAGUCUUUGCCUGUCAGCCCAUGAUAGGCUUUUUUUUUA